rfam:Oryza rufipogon genomic scaffold, chr03
AAAAAAAUAAAUUCUAAAUUUUCGUGUCCAAUGUUUGACUGUCCGUCUUAUAUAAUUUGUUUUAUAAUUAGUAUUUUCAUUGUUGUUAGAUGAUAACAUAUGAUUAAUACUUUAUACGUGACUUGUCUUUUUAAUUUUUUUAUUAAUUUUUUUAAAUAAGACGAACGGUUAUACGUUGGAUAUAAAAACCUAGGUUUGUUUUUUUC